GAUGAACGCUGGCGGCGUGCCUAAUACACGCAAGUCGAGCGAACAGACGAGGAGCUUGCUCCUCUGACGUUAGCGGCGGACGGGUGAGUAACACGUGGAUAACCUACCUAUAAGACUGGGAUAACUUCGGGAAACCGGAGCUAAUACCGGAUAAUAUAUUGAACCGCAUGGUUCAAUAGUGAAAGACGGUUUUGCUGUCACUUAUAGAUGGAUCCGCGCCGCAUUAGCUAGUUGGUAAGGUAACGGCUUACCAAGGCAACGAUGCGUAGCCGACCUGAGAGGGUGAUCGGCCACACUGGAACUGAGACACGGUCCAGACUCCUACGGGAGGCAGCAGUAGGGAAUCUUCCGCAAAGGGCGAAAGCCCGACGGAGCAACGCCGCGUGAGUGAUGAAGGUCUUCGGAUCGUAAAACUCUGUUAUUAGGGAAGAACAAAUGUGUAAGUAACUAUGCACGUCUUGACGGUACCUAAUCAGAAAGCCACGGCUAACUACGUG
rnacentral:rRNA from 1 species